rnacentral:rRNA from 1 species
UGAGUAACGCGUGAGGAACCUGCCUUCCAGAGGGGGACGAACAGUUGGAAACGACUGCUAAUACCGCAUGACACAUUUGAAUCGCAUGGUUUGAAUGUCAAAGAUUUAUCGCUGGAAGAUGGCCUCGCGUCUGAUUAGCUAGUAGGCGGGGUAACGGCCCACCUAGGCGACGAUCAGUAGCCGGACUGAGAGGUUGACCGGCCACAUUGGGACUGAGAUACGGCCCAGACUCCUACGGAAGGCAGCAG